rnacentral:rRNA from 1 species
GAUGAACGCUGGCGGCGUGCCUAAUACAUGCAAGUCGAGCGAAUGGAUUAAGAGCUUGCUCUUAUGAAGUUAGCGGCGGACGGGUGAGUAACACGUGGGUAACCUGCCCAUAAGACUGGGAUAACUCCGGGAAACCGGGGCUAAUACCGGAUAACAUUUUGAACCGCAUGGUUCGAAAUUGAAAGGCGGCUUCGGCUGUCACUUAUGGAUGGACCCGCGUCGCACUAGCUAGUUGGUGAGGUAACGGCUCACCAAGGCAACGAUGCGUAGCCGACCUGAGAGGGUGAUCGGCCACACUGGGACUGAGACGCGGCCCAGACUCCGACGGGAGGCAGCAGUAGGGAAUCUUACGCAAUGGACGAAAGUCUGACGGAGCAACGCCGCGUGAGUGAUGAAGGCUUUCGGGUCGUAAAACUCUGUUGUUAGGGAAGAACAAGUGCUAGUUGAAUAAGCUGGCACCUUGACGGUACCUAACCAGAAAGCCACGGCUAACUACGUGCCAGCAGCCGCCGUAA